rnacentral:rRNA from 1 species
AUUGAACGCUGGCGGCAGGCCUAACACAUGCAAGUCGAGCGAGCGGCGGACGGGUGAGUAAUGUCUGGGAAACUGCCUGCUGGAGGGGGAUAACUACUGGAAACGGUAGCUAAUACCGCAUACCAUCAGAUGUGCCCAGAUGGGAUUAGCUCGUAGGUGGGGUAACGGCUCACCGAGGCGACGAUCCCUAGCUGGUCUGAGAGGAUGACCAGCAACACGGGAACUGAGACACGGUCCAGACUCCUACGGGAGGAAGAAGUGGGGAAAAUUGAACAAUGGGCGAAAGCCGGAUGCAGCCAGGCCGCGUGUGUGAAGAAGGCCUUCGGGUUGUAAAGCACUUUCAGCGGGGAGGCGUUACCCGCAGAAGAAGCACCGGCUAACUCCGUGCCAGCAGCCGCGGUAAUUC